rnacentral:lncRNA from 1 species
CAGCAUAAAGACUGAUCAAAGCUCUUUUCUCCCUCCAAGGCUCUGGUCAAUGCUCACAUCUUGAGAUGUCUGAGGACUCCAAACGUGUCAUCCUGAGACAGUGAUCUGCACCUGAUUUUGCACUUACAAAGCUGACUCAAUAUACAUAAGCAUAUUUUGCUGUAAGGUGGUCCUGAACAAAGACAUGUGGAAAAGUCUCAGGAGACAUGAGAUCCUUUUUAGCUGCCAGCACAAGCUGGUUUCUGAAGGAGACAAGGCAUAUAACCAGGUAACGCUGAGUCGGCUGUGUGCAGGUGCCACGGUCCCUGGAAGACGGUUCUCUAAGAAUCCUGGGAUUGUGAGGAGAGUUGUACCACAGCAAGAGGAAGAACUCAGCUCUACAGGUUUUUAAACAUUCCUGGAAAGCAUUAUCUCCAUUUUAAAUUCCAGAUAAAGUGCAAGAAAGUAACAGGUCCAACAAUAAUAAAGAAACUAAUAUUCCACUUACUUUAUGCCUA